GACGAACGCUGGCGGCGUGCCUAAGACAUGCAAGUCGAGCGAGGGGGCUUCGGCCUCCUAGCGGCGGACGGGUGAGUAACACGUGGGCAACCUGCCCUUCAGCCCGGGAUAACCGCCGGAAACGGCGGCUAAUACCGGAUGCGGUGCAUACCUCGCAUGAGGCAUGCACGAAAGUUACGGCGCUGAAGGAUGGGCCCGCGUCCCAUUAGCUAGUUGGUGAGGUAACGGCUCACCAAGGCGACGAUGGGUAGCCGGCCUGAGAGGGUGGUCGGCCACACUGGGACUGAGACACGGCCCAGACUCCUACGGGAGGCAGCAGUCGGGAAUCUUCCACAAUGGGCGAAAGCCUGAUGGAGCGACGCCGCGUGAGGGAAGAAGGUCUUCGGAUCGUAAACCUCUGUCCUCAGGGACGAAAGGGACGGUACCUGAGGAGGAAGCCACGGCUAACUACGUG
rnacentral:rRNA from 1 species